GGUCAGUGAUGUGAUGUAAAAGGUCUGACACUCAGAUGCCCCGCCCCUUAGCCGCUAUUUUGGCUCCCAGCAGCCCCUGCUCUCUGCUCCCAGCAUGCUCUAGCAGUGCAGUGCUGGUCCCAGGAGCCGCUGACAGACGGACAGGAUGUGACAUCACACAGCCUGUACGCAGAUCCCACAGGCUCGGUGUGAUGCUGCUGAUUGACAUCCAACAGAACCAAUCAGAAAGGAGCGUCAGGCUGAGUGGGCGGGGCCUGAGAGGUGAUCUCACUCCUGUACUGAGACC